AACUAGCUGGGCAGCGAAAUCUUUGCUUUGCGCUAAAGUCAACAGUGGCAGAGUUUGAGCUCAAAUAAAUGCCGCUGUGCCUGGAGCACUUUGCAGAAGGCAUCGGGCGAGCAGCGGACUCUCACGCCUUUCCUUUACAGCAGCUUACAGAGAGGACGGACCAAAGAUAAGAGCUAUGGGAGCAUGUGACGGCCACACAAUGUCCCCUCGGUUGGCCUCAUUGACCGGCCCAUGGCACCUUCCAGGUAUGGAUCAAUUUGCAAAAGUUCAUCAGUUGCAGCCCUAACCCUUCAAACCUUGAUGGAAGUGCUUGCUUGCCAAUCAUCCUCACAUCACCUUCACCUGCAGUCAUGUCUGACCUGGCCACGUAUGAGAGAUAACAUUUGUGUCUGCAGAGCUGAGAGAGGGGACAAAAGGAAGUUUGACGUUAAUGAUUAACGGCGCUAAAAGCCCCUGCUUUUGUAUUCCCAUGGUACCGAGGCUAUCUGGUGGCCAUGUGACCUGCGUGGAGGAGAUUGGGGGUUAGCGGUAGAGCAAACACAGGUGCUGUGUUUGGGUUGGAGUCGCCUGCGCUGUCAGGGACAACCACAAACACACGCAGCUAUGCCAAGCUCCACAAACAGCCGCCUACGCCAACAGAUCAAGUCCAAUGUGCUCCUCCCUGUCUUCCUAUAUGUUCCACAUUGGAAAAAGUACCUGAUUUAUGUUUAGUGCAUUCUAGCUGGGGCAUCCUUAAGGAUCAUCCUUGAUGUAUAGUCUAAAUAAAAACACAAUUGCCUUUUACUUUUAUAAUAAAAAAAAAAACUAUUAAUACAUGCUUUCAUUUAUGUACCUGUAUAUUCCACUGUGCUGAAUGAUCAUGUUCUCAUGCCACAUGCAACUGCUAAUCAAUUUUGCUGAGGUUGCCUCACUGUAAUUAAUGAGCUGUUCUCAAUCAUUCUCAAUCAUGCUAAACACAAUGUUAACAAGUCCUGAGGGAAAGGUGUUAAGAACCAUUUAACCUAGGCAUUUUCAAUGUCAAUCAUGGCUACAGGUGCAGUGCACUAGUGGGAACUGGACCUUUUCUUGAUAAUGUAAUCAGCUGAUAUGAAGGCCCUAUCGCCAAAACCCUCUCUCACUGACACAGAAAUGACGGAAGUGAUAACAAGAACAAAAGCUACAAUACACGCAUCCCCUCUUGUAAAAACAAGGAAAUGGAAAGACUCCAUUAUGGAAACACCUCAUUCAGUUUCUAAUUUUCUGUGUGGUGAUCAGACAGACGGUUCUUUUAUUGUUCUGAUAUUAUUGUUUGUGCUCCGGCUGCCUUACAGUUAAUUGCUAGCAAUCAAGGAGGCAAGGUUUGAUUAUGAACGCAACAAUGAUAAAGCCUUUUGAUGGCAAACACUUAAUCAGAAGGGAAUAUUAAAUUUUUUGAGGGAGAGAAUCGGUGUGAAAGAGAUAGGGAGAGUCCAGCCGAGGUAAAUAAAAUGUAUACGAUCUAAAACCUCAAUCAAACAACAGAUUUCAUACCUGUGUGUAUGUGUGUGUUUACAUAUCGCUGUCAAUACUAGUGAACACACACACCUUUGUUAGCUUUACUCUAGAAACCAAUGAAGGUGUGCUGGAGGAUAGGUGUAAAACCUGAAUGAAAACUCUGAUGACACACUGCUUUAAGAUUAAAAAGGAAAGCAGACACUGUCUGGAAUUUAUAGUUUUGAAUAUAUUAAUACAAUAGGUGCACUUAAUGCAGUUAACUCAAUACGAUGUGGUUUGGUCUAUUUGUGAACACAGUUACUAGAGCUAUCUUCACUAAAAAUACAAUAUACUUCAACCUGAUAAAAUCAAAACACCUAAAAGCCUAGACAUCUAAAAAAGUUCAGGAAACAAGGAUUUUGUCCUUAGUUCAUCUUCACACCUUUCAUCUUCACCAUAAUGUACAAAGCUUAAACCAGAAUUCACAUGCAGGAUAAUUAUAAGUGAUCCAUUGACGAAUAGAAGGGCAUACAGAGAAAAAAGAAAAGCUAUAGAUAUCCAUCACAGGAUUAGUGCUGUAGGGUGUACUGUGGAGAAAAAAGCUUCACGGCAAACCGCUCCAAAAGGACUCGAGGCAUCAGCUUUGUUGCUAGAGUAUUGUGUUGCUCCAUAAGUCUGGCUAUUGUGAGUUGAAACUGAGCUAAUCAAAGUGAGUUAGCAAUGAUAAGCUAUGCUAUGAAAAGACAGAAAAAAACAUUUCUGUCUUCAAUAGCUCUUUUUGAAGUGGUAGACAAAAAAUGUUAUGU